rnacentral:rRNA from 1 species
GACGAACGCUGGCGGCGUGCCUAACACAUGCAAGUCGAACGAAGAAUGUUUUUCGGAAUAUUCUUAGUGGCGGACGGGUGAGUAACGCGUGAACAAUCUGCCCCGUACAAAGGGAUAGCCUCGGGAAACCGGGAUUAAAACCAUAUAACGCUUUAGUACCGCAUGGUAAUAAAGUCAAAUCGAUUAAGAGGUAUGGGAUGAGUUCGCGUCUGAUUAGCUAGUUGGUGAGGUAAGGGCUCACCAAGGCGACGAUCAGUAGCCGGCCUGAGAGGGUGAACGGCCACACUGGAACUGAGACACGGUCCAGACUCCUACGGGAGGCAGCAGCGGGGAAUAUUGCACAAUGGGGGGAACUCUGAUGCAGCGACGCCGCGUGAGUGAAGAAGGUCUUCGGAUCGUAAAACUCUGUCCUUGGUGAAGAAAAGGACGGUAGCCAAGGAGGAAGCCCCGGCUAACUACGUG